AACGAACGCUGGCGGCAGGCUUAACACAUGCAAGUCGAACGCCCCGCAAGGGGAGUGGCAGACGGGUGAGUAACGCGUGGGAACAUACCCUUUUCUACGGAAUAGCUCUGGGAAACUGGAAUUAAUACCGUAUACGCCCUACGGGGGAAAGAUUUAUCGGGGAAGGAUUGGCCCGCGUUGGAUUAGCUAGUUGGUGGGGUAAGGGCCUACCAAGGCGACGAUCCAUAGCUGGUCUGAGAGGAUGAUCAGCCACAUUGGGACUGAGACACGGCCCAAACUCCUACGGGAGGCAGCAGUGGGGAAUAUUGGACAAUGGGCGCAAGCCUGAUCCAGCCAUGCCGCGUGAGUGAUGAAGGCCUUAGGGUUGUAAAGCUCUUUCACCGAUGAAGAUAAUGACGGUAGUCGGAGAAGAAGCCCCGGCUAACUUCGUG
rnacentral:rRNA from 1 species